AAAUCUAUCAAUUGUUGCCUGAGCCUUACUACCUCAUCAUUAUUGUGUUCUGAACUUUCUUCCCUGUGAUCCUGAUCCGGGUCAAUGAGCGAAUUUUCAAUCUCCCUGCUAGCCAUAGCGAGCUUUGCUUUGGAUCUAGUGAAGUAUGGGUGACUAGCCAGAGUGCUGCAAACCUACCACUGUUAUCUGAAAGAACAUGCUCAUCAAAGACGGCAUCCGUUAGGAUUGAGGUACACAACAAGCAUGGGAAUCACAUUGGUAAAAGUGUCCUAAAUUCAUGUUCAUUUCUAACAGCUUUUGAGGGUAGCGAGGUCAUUUUAACAUCAUCCCGAUUUUUAUCUACACUUAUUUUUAUCUACACUUAUCAUUAUUUUAUUAUUAUUAUUAUUAUUAUUAUUAUUAUUAUUAUCGUAUUCAUCUCUGUUCUUUUUCCUUCUCUCAUUAUCUACCUUUAUUUUAUCAUUCUUUAUGGCUUUUGUUUUUCUUUAAAAGAGGAAAAAUAAUGAAAAACAACGAAACAAAAUGAUUAGAUCAAACCCAAAAGUAGGUUGCCUACGUAUCAUGUUGUACAUGAAUNNNNNNNNNNNNNNNNNNNNNNNNNNNNNNNNNNNNNNNNNNNNNNNNNNNNNNNNNNNNNNNNNNNNNNNNNNNNNNNNNNNNNNNNNNNNNNNNNNNNNNNNNNNNNNNNNNNNNNNNNNNNNNNNNNNNNNNNNNNNNNNNNNNNNNNNNNNNNNNNNNNNNNNNNNNNNNNNNNNNNNNNNNNNNNNNNNNNNNNNNNNNNNNNNNNNNNNNNNNNNNNNNNNNNNNNNNNNNNNNNNNNNNNNNNNNNNNNNNNNNNNNNNNCCUAAUACCAAAAACAACUUGACUUCGACUUAAAGCAGACACCACCCUACAAUGACAGACACAUAAAAGACUCAAACUGAAAUAAGAUAAGAAAUGCUCUUUCAGACUGGUGCUCUGCGUGAUGACCCUGGCUGAGAUGGACCUGCCUGUGAAGUUCUCUUUCUCCCAUUUAAACUUUGUAGCAUAUCCUGUAAAGACACCCUGAUAUUAGGGAAGAAGCUUCGGGCCCGUAUUUCUGCCUCAUGAGGAGUGCACUUGGAAAGAUUAUUCUGACACCUUUCCACCGUCUUGAAAAAAUCGGCUAACUGAACUUCAUCCUGAUGGUCGUCAACUAUGCAUUCUUUCUGUAUUCUCCCUCUAAGCUACGCUGGUAAGGGUUGACUGAUACCCCGAGGGAUAGAUUGAAGCCAGACUCCAUAUCCCUGAGUGUACCCCGGAUUAUCCAAACUUUCUUUGAGUGUGUCCACACCUAGCUUUGUUGCAUGCUUCCAAAACUGCUCGUACUUGCUCUCACCUAAGGCUUGGCCCUUAAAGUGCUCAACAUCCUUCAGAAGAUCCAUUGCUGGGGGCACGUCCUGAAGCCUACCCAACUAGCGCAUUACCCUAGAAGGACUGUAUGGUCUAGUGCAAUUGAGCCCUAACAUAACUAAAGGGAGUUGCGUCUGACAACCCAACAAGAUUAUCUUUGGUCGAAGCCACAGAUUAUUGCUGGUGGCACGUCCGGCAGCCUACCCAACUGGCGCAUUACCCUAGAAGGACUGUAUGGUCUAGUGCAAUUGAGCCCUAACAUAACUAAAGGGAGUUGCGUCUGACAACCCAACAAGAUUAUCUUUGGUCGAAGCCACAGAUAAGUCCACAAAAUGUUAUCCCCAGUUUUUGACUCAAGAAAUUCAAUCCAAGCGUCGACUCCCACGGGUAGCGAGAAUUUAUCCAAACGCAACCUGGAGUCUAUUGCUUUCACUCGAUUGGGAAUACAACGAUCUACUACGUCUGGUCUAACUAAAGAAGGCGCAUACAAAUUCUCCAUCAUCCAUAACUGCAAUAUCAGGUUACUGCCUUAAAAAAAUCUCAUCCCCCCCUCCACUUUAGUUAAAGCUUUAUAUAUUUCUGUUAAGAACAUGGGUAUGAGAGUGAACCUGCCCUUUUGAUUAAUGCCCUUGUCGUUUUGAUCCUUAUGAAAUAGAGCCAUCACCAUAGAUUGCCAACGGGUAUUAAUACAUCUUUCUUUUAGUGGAAACACUAAAAUGCCUAACAAAGCGAGGGUGAAGACUUUAUGACGCUUUCUCUCCCACUUCUCCUUAGUCAUAUGAAAUUCAUCCCAAAAGCAAUCAAAACCUUCCGAGGGCCCGAAUCUAGCGAACAAAAAAUCUAAGGAAACCGACGAAUCACUUAAACAACCCAAACGCAUACCCUUACUUUUUAAACCACAAGAUUGCAAAAAUCUCACGCCAGUAUGAUUUAGUGCUCGGAUCAUAUCCUUCUCGAUAUAGGGCAAAUGCAACAAACCGGAUAUUUCUGCCAAAGUAGGAGUCAUUUCACAUUCCCCAAACCUGAACACCAAACUACUUGGAUCCCAAAAGGUCAACAAAGCCUCUAUUAAAUCUGGACGAGGGGUAAUAUGCAGAAGUUCCGUAAGAUCACCUAAUAUUUUAAUCAGUUUCUGCUAAUCAACAUAGUUAAACAUUUCCCACCACUUGAUUAACUUUUUGGGCCCCUUGACAACCAUUAGAACUCUAGACUUGGUGGACAAAUCCAUCCCGUAAUAACACAUAAGACGUUAUCUCAAAAUUCGAUAGGAGUAAAAAAUUCCCAACCCUUGGGAUUUUUGACGCAAGCAUAUGUCGAUGGGACAGACCACAUUCAUGACUCCAAUUUGAUGAACAGAAGUACUGAGCGAGAUCAGUCUACUUGGCUAACGAAUCUAGAUUACGGGGCGAGAGACCUAGGCUAAUAAUAAGACAAAGGCCAACACAAAGAUUACCGGACGCACCGAGGGUUGCCUACGUAUCCCAACCCGAGGGAAGGGAAUCAGGUAUGCAUAGUUCAUCCAGAUUGGACACUUAACGAUUAACUAAUAAAUUGACCCUAACUUAAGAGACAACCAAGAACAAACGAAUGAAAAAUUUUUGGAUUUUCAGUUAGACAUUUCAACUAAGACUGACACCACCAAUUAUGAAAAAAAAUCUUUUUGGUAUUUUAUUUUUGACAAAUAAGUAGAAAAGGCAAACAAAACCCUCUUUUUCUUCAUUUCUUUUUUUGUUGAACUUACGGUACUUUGAGAAGAUAAAUGCAAAACGUAAAAAAAUCUUUUUGAGUUUUGGAUCGUGAAGAACAAAAGCCAUAAAGAACUCUAAAAUAAACUAAGACACUCCUUUUGAUUCAUUCUUUUCGACUCACUUUUUUUUUUCAAUCAGUCCGUCAAAUGACCACGUUACCCUUAAAGAUGCAUCAGUUAGGACGUAGGGAUGCUUUAGAGGUGAGUCUCCUACAAAGGGCCAUGUGGGUCCCGCUAAGUCUCAGUAUGAUGCACAUAAGCAUGAUCUAAAGGCUGACCUACGUUGUGGUUCACUAACAAGGCUGUUCGGGGGAGUGUUUGGUCGAUAGUGGCUGGUUUGUUUUCCCCCUCCUCCCCACCGACGGAUCCCCCCCUAAAACAAGGGUGACUCAACUAGAGGUCGUGUACAACACGUGUACUAUGGACUUAUUGCAGAAAGAAGGCCUGGGGGUAGAUGCAUGAUGACAGAUAUAAAAGCGGUAACACAUAGGAUAAAUACUAUAAACAAAGAGAACGAAAAACGCACAAAAGUGAAAACAAUAACACAAACAAAAUCACAAACAAUGCUUAUACACUCGUGAUGUCAAAAAAAGCCGAUACGACUCCAAAAGAUAGCUCGAAUUCUGAAAUGCCUCCGCAGCAGAGUCGUCGGAGCUGUCACACCCCUUUUCUCAUCUACAAAAAAUUAAUUUCAAGUUUUGAAAGGGUUUUUAUUAUCAAAGUGACGAAAAAUAAAAAUUUGUUUCGAAAAAUGAUUAUUUACAUUUUUAUUCAGAGUCUCCACUUGACAUAAUCCGGUGUGCCAAGUCACCUUUGAAAAAUCCUUUUCAAAACAGUUUGACUCUUUAAGACUGGUUUGCAAAAAGAGAUUCCGGCUAAGGAAUUCUGUUGACUGAGGGGAAGGUGUUUGGCACCCCUCGAUCCCGUGUUCGAUCACGGUCGCUUGGUGGAAUAUAUCGGCUAACUUUGAAACUAAGAAUGUAUAAACCAUAUAAAACACAUAAACAAGCAACAAAAACAUCAAACAACAAUUCCAAAACCAAAAUAAUAUUGUUCAGUUCAAUUAUACAGUCCAAAAAUAAAAAAACAUAUGGAAAGGUAAAACCUAUUCUAUUCUAAACUAGUCCUAAACUAAACUCUAACCCGCUGCCUCGUGUCUUCGUCACGAACGUCCUCCGGGUACAAAAUACUUCGGGGCAUUCCCCGGCGAAUAAACACAAAUACCUCGGGGCAUUCCCCGGGCAAAUGAAUACACUUUUAGUGCGAGAAAAUCAAACUAUUUAACAAAAUCUCAAAUAUUCAAAAAAAAAAAACGAGUCCUAAACUUUGCUUACCCAACCUAUAUUCGCCUAUUCAUUUCAACGCCAUUUAAUGAAUCAAAAUAAAUUAAUGAUUGCUUUUAUCAAUGUCAAUUCUAACCACCCACGUUGGCUUUCAUUUUUCAUCAAUUACACCAACUACUACUCAUAUUCAUUCCAUGUUGCAUCGAAAACACACUGUGAAGCACAAAGUCAUGACAUCUAACGUCAACAAAACUCACCCACUACGAUCACAUCACACAUAAUCACAAUAAUUAAACACAUUUGAGACAAUAACAAGAAUAUAGAGUUGAGGGAUGGACCUUAAACCGCUUUUUGACCAAUAUUAUUCGAUGAGAUAAAGAAAACCCGCCUCCGACAACCUCGACUUAAGCUCCAACGACAAAUCUGUCCAGCUCAGUAUUUAGGAAAUUGAAACCUGAAGUCCGAUUCAAAUAAACAAUUCGCAAAGCGACUGAAAGUAUUCAAUACACGCCUGGGAUCGAUCCUAUUAGACGAAACUGACCCGAACGGACCAACGAGUACCUGGACUAGAAUUUCAGAAGAAAGAAAAAUAAUAGAAAACUCACGAUAUCAAGAAACCCCAGUACUUUUCGGCUAUAUUUCUCCACAAAAAUCAAGGAAGAAUAAGACCCGCACCCCCAAUUCUCGCUGGAUUCAGUCUGAACUUUGUCGGAAUCGACCCAAAUAAGCUGGAAUCGACCCGAACAGGCUUUUUUCAAGCUGAUUUUCCGGUCAAAAUCAUCUCUUUCGAACUUCUGAUCUCGAUCUGUCUUCGCGAUUCUCUCUCUCGACUUCAGCUUGUAUCUCCUCUCCGAAACUCCAUCUCCCUUAAACUCUAUCGUGUGUGUGCGUAUGGUGAAGUUUUGGUGUGUGUCUAUGGCAUGAGUUUAGUGAAAGAAGAGAAAAAAAAAAUGGACCCUAUUGUUAUUGUGAGGAAGAAAUAAAAAAAAAUGGGGCUCUUAGUAAUGUAUCCCUUUUUUAUCUCCGUUCCCCCUAUGUGUAUGAAUGGAAUAUGUAUAUAUCUGUGAGUGUUGUGUGUGUAGGUGUAUGGGUGGAGUGACGUGAGUAGU
rnacentral:lncRNA from 1 species